CGCUGAUCUGAGCGUGUCUAAUGAUUUAAAUACUACUGCUUCAGUUUCCCACUUUCAGAAUAAGACACUUGAUCUUCCUCCAUUUAAUGUAAGCUGCACCAAAGAUGGGACUUCAGGUCAGGCAGGUUUUGGCACCACUGAAACAUCCCCCAUCACAAAUCAAAAUUGCUCAUCUUUAAAGGAAUGUGCUCCAUUUGCUGUGCAGAACGCCACCUUUGAAAAGCAUUCUCUGCAUAAAAGCAGUGGCAGCACAGUAUUAGGGGAAGACCUCAAGAACAACACCUUUGAUUCUCAACCACCUUCCAAGAAGAGCGACACAAUAACUUUGUUGGAAACGGUCCAGAGUGAAAGUAGCCAAAUUUCUUCAAAGCCUAAUAGCACAAAAACUCUGACAGAAAUGAGCUCAUGUGACGGUCACCAAAGUGCUUCCAAGCCAAAUGGAACAAUAACUUUAUCAGAGGUGAACCCGAGUGACGAUCACCACAAUACCUCCAGGCCCAAUGGCACCAUAACUUUGUCAGAAACAAGCUCAUGCAACAUCCGCCCGGGGUCUUCAGACAAGCCCUCCACACCUGAAGUCAGUAAUCUAACCACCAGCCCUAAAGACAACAAUAUUGACAUUGCCCCUGAUCUAUCAAAGCAUAAUGUUACGACAGAUGCUAAGGACCAUAGUGGCAAGGAGGUUGAAACCCAUGAUGACGCUUCUGGCAGUGGUAGCUGUGAGACUAAAGAUCUUUCAGGUCUGCCUGUGGUGGGCGGGCUCUCCGAUUCUUUAAACCGUCAAAGCUUUGGUACAGUGAACCUCAAAGCCAAGUGUUUCAAUUUGGAUGACACCCUGGAUUUAAAGGCAGACUGUUUGAUUACUUCAACACCAAUGACUAAAUGUACAAUGUUCAACUUGAACACUGAGCAAGUUGAGGGCUUACACCUAGCAGUACAGAAGAAGCUGUACACAGAUGGUCCCAGGAAGCCAGCUGAUCAGGUGCCAUCAGACCCAUCAAACCUUGUCUGUGACCGUAAAACAAUCUUGAAACAGCCAGCUGCUAAAUCCCUUUGCCCUCCCCCAAAAGCUGGAGCUCAGCUGAUGAAAUCAAAGUCACAUUCCUCAAUUCCAGCCAGGUUGAAUACAGUGGCAUCCAACUUACCUACGAAAAGACAAAGAACCCAAGCUGAAGCUUCAAGAAACACUGCUGCCACUGCCCCUGAUGCACCCCAGGGGACCACAGGAGUAACAUCCUGCUACAACCUGCGUGCUACAGCAACAGGAUCCAAGCUGCCCGCUUGUGGCUCACAAAGAUCGCAGUUUAGUGGAAUCCCAUCAGGGAUCCAGAGAGCUACUAUGUGUCUUAGGCCACCUUUAACAAGAAGCAGUACAGCAAUUUCUUCAAGUACCGACAAGCUCUGUGGACCUACAGCAACUAACCCUGUGACCAAGACUUCACAAGCAAAGAAGCACCCUCUAACCAGAGCUGACAGUUUGCUAGUGUCAAAGAGGAAGAAAAUGGAUGCUUCUGAUCCAUGCAAUAGUGUCGGAGCUCCAGUAUCUGCCAGUGAUGCUACAAACAAAGCGACAAUCCUCAAGCAGCCCAGUAAGAGAGCUUUGCCUGCCAAAGCUCAAGGAGAAGAGCCAGGCCCCUGAAACAGCCUGGAAUCAGCAAUAAAGCACCACUACCUAAAACCCAAAUCCACAGUUGCGCAAAAUGUGCUGAGCUUGAAGAACAACUUAAACUGAUAUCAGAAGAAAACACAAGGCUGAAAGAAGAGUUGCUGAAAUACACUAAACAAGAUGUCCCAGUGAAACCCCGGUGUUAAUACUUUAAAGCAUAUCUGCUGUUUUUAAAUGUUAAUAAUUACGUAAAAUAAUUUACUCACUAAAGUAGAAAUGUUUUUUGUUUUUUUCUAUUUUGCAGUGAGGAUGAGAUUUUGUCUGUUUGUGUGUUUAACAUUACACUGUUUAUUUUCAACUCUAAUAAAUUUAAUAAUAUGUGUUGGUCUUUCAUUUGGUUGGUCUAACACUUUGGAGAGUGCUCUGCUGGGAGGACACAUUUGAACACCUUUUUUUCAGUAUUUGGAAAUUUCAGUCUUUGCGAUUUAGAAUUACUGUACUCAAAUACUGAUACUCAUUGUCAAGCUGCCGGGUAUAAAUAAAACAUCAGCAUAUUCAACACGCAUAGCUACUGGCAUUCCACCACUGAAAUUAAAUAUUGUAUAAUAGAUUAAUAUUCUAUUGUUAAAAAUAUUGAAUUUCCAGUGAAACCCUGUGACUUUGGAUAUCUUUAUCUCAGGUUAUUCAACACACUGGUAUAUCUCUAUAAAUACAAGAAUACGGUGUAGGCAAAUAUUUACCAUGCACUGCGACUUAAAAGCAAGGUUUUCCAAUACAAUAUUAU
ensembl:lncRNA